UGGGGAGGGGUUGCCUAACCUUGCAGUCGACGAAUUCUUCGGACUUAGUGGCGCACGGGUGCGUAUCGCGUGGGAAUCUGCCCUUGGGUACGGAAUGACUCAGAGAAAUUUGUGCUAAUACCGUAUAAUGACUUCGGUCCAAAGAUUUAUCGCCCAAGGAUGAACCCGCGUAAGAUUAGCUAGUUGGUGGGGUAAAAGCCUACCAAGGCGACGAUCUUUAGCUGGUCUGAGAGGAUGAUCAGCCACACUGGGACUGAGACACGGCCCAGACUCCUACGGGAGGCAGCAGUGGGGAAUAUUGGACAAUGGGCGAAAGCCUGAUCCAGCAAUGCCGCGUGAGUGAUGAAGGCCUUAGGGUUGUAAAGCUCUUUUACCCGGGAUGAUAAUGACAGUACCGGGAGAAUAAGCUCCGGCUAACUCCGUGCCAGCAGCCGCGGUAAUAC
rnacentral:rRNA from 1 species